AGGACAAAAAUUUGAUUUAAUAUUUCCGCAGAUGCCAAGUCUUUGGUUGAAAACGCAAAAUGUAUAAAAUCUCCAAUUUGGUGGGCUAACAAGAUCUCAGUCUUGGGGCAUGUGUUGGCUAUCCAGAGAUUUACUGUAGCAAACACCUGUGAAAGAUAAAGGGGCGAGGUCACGGGAGCAGUUAGAGAGAAAUGUCAGAACCUGCUGCAGCUCUGACACCUGUGAAACGAGAGGGAGGAGGAAGAAGGUUCUGGAGGCAGAACCUCAGAUCGCAAUGCAGCUCUGAGAAAGUCUGAAUCAGGCUGAUGGGGAGUUUCAGAGCAAAGAUCGCCGGGUAGAGGACUCUUGUGUUGGCCAGGAACCGCCAUCUCCCCUAGCCCUGUGGGGCCCAGUCGUUGACUGGGGGCAACCUGGGAAGAGAGUGGCUCCAUGAGAAUGCCGGGACAGAUCUAAUAGAAGCGGCAGCUGACGGUGGCCAGCUAGCUACAUUCCUUGCAGCAAGUUCUGUCUUGAAAGAUUUGAGCAGUGUACUUCCAUAGAGGUCACAGAAGGUGAUAGGAGCCAAAGCAGUCCAGCAGCUCAGAAGAAAUCAUUGAAGAAAGUUGCAGGUACAAGCCCUUAGAAGCAAAGCACCCAGAAGCUGGGGGAUGGAUGCUCAGGACUGGUCUGUUUUCUGGGAAGCCCUCAGAACACUUCAACUGCUGUGAAGCCACUUCUGUGAGCAAACUGGAGGGAGUGGUUCUGCCCGUCGAAUCAUAGAAGCCCAAAGCCGCCUGUAAGAAUGUUGGGCUCACGGGCAGCUGAGCUGCUACCUGGCCUUGCGAUGGCGCAUGCGCGGAACAGCAAGAAACGUAACGGAGAGGGAAAAACACGCACCUGAAAUGAAGCAAAGACUUCCGAUAGAUAACUAAUUAGCAUUAACAUUUUAAUUGAAAACUCCUGGAAAACAAUGAAAAUUGAUAGCCCCUGAAUUUACUCUUAUGUAAAGUGUUAAUCAGGGAACUCUGAAGAAGUCUUUUGUUUGUAUUAAUUUUGUUUUUUAAGUACAUGAAUGAAAUCCUCUAAGUUUGACCUCUUACACUAUAUGGUUUUCAUUCUAAAUGUACAAGUAGAAGCUGACUCAUGAAGUUAUAUGUAGCGUCCAUGAAAACAGUGUGUUAGGAGGCUGCCAUCUUAUUAUUUUCAUAUUUAUUUAAAAUGUAUAUAAAUGUAUUUAUUUUUAAAUAUAAAUAUUUUUAUUUAAAUAUAUUUUAAAUGCAUCAAUCCGCAUCCUAACUCGUAGUUCAGAGAGAUGGUACGGAAACAGUUUUGUGUUCGCUCACUUGAACAAGCCACCUCCAAUUCUUCUGGGAAGAAGGCACACAUAAUCAAACACGUAAAUGAAGAAAUGGAUGCUAGCUUAAACAAAAAUAGGCAAUUUGAGCCUGUGCUGACAUCAUAACAAAAUUGAUGUUAUUUUACUCAGGCUUUAUUUUCCGUGGAUCACUGACUCGUCAAAAAUUAUAAGAAACUCUCAAACUUAUAAUAAUUAGGAAAAAUGUGAUUUGUCCUUGCCCUCAGCUCCUUUCAAACUUUGAUUUUAGAAAUAAAUUUGCUUGGCUAUGUCUAUUUAUGAUAUCAUAGAAGAGUUCGAUUUUAUAAAGUUAUGACUAGCACUUGCAUUUGGCAGAAACUCUAAUCCUUAUAACUAGGAAGGGAGAAAAUCUUUUCAAUCCAAACCUCUCUGAAUGUGUGUUUAAUGCCUCUAUCCCGUAAAAAAGCUGCUGCCGUUGUUGAGUCGUUGGUGCAGGACUCAUUCCGGGGCUUUCCUCAGUGUUGGCUUUGAACCAUCUCCAGCCUCUAUCCUGUUGCCUGCACACCGGGACACUUUAUCUGUGCGUGGCUUGGGCUCUGCAGCCGUCUCUGUUCUACCACGGCCCCUCCUGCGAUCUCCAGUGCUCCUCUCUACCCCUGAUGCUGGGCCUGGGCGUCCGGCAUCCCAUCCCUCCUGGCUGGGCCCUUGGUGCUCGGGACCUUCACUAAUCUGGAAGUGGGAAGUGGACAUCUGCAGAGACUGGUCCUCCUAUGCAUGAUAAUUUAGGAAACAGAGCAGAAAUUUGCCAGGCAUUACCAUUUCUAAUGAGUGACUUUCAUGCAAUUAUACUUUUUAAAGAUUAUAUAAAAAGAGACAAAUCGUGUGUCUGAAAGAUUAGCUAAAGUUGUAGUACUUUCCCACUAAAAAGAUUCUCCUAUCACUCUGGAUGGCUUUGAGAAAAGAACUAAAACAAAACAGAUCAUCAUGAAAACUAUCUAUUUCUUGUAGCAAGAGUUCACAUUAGCUUUAAUUCCAUUUUUUUUUGUAGGAAAACAAAAUGAAAACCAGUACAAUAGUGUUGUGUGUGUGGGUUAGUUUCUAAGCAACCCUCAACAAAUCUAGUGCUGCAGACACUAAGUAAUCUUCUUAGACUCUGUUUCUUUGUUUCGAGCUUUGCCAACUCGUCUAGUCCAGGCUCUGUUUCUGCUAGAGAGUCACUGAGACAGUGCAAGGCUGAUGGUGACUCUCUUCUCCUUAAAGCAAAUCUGUAAAAACAACAAUGUCCCCUUUAAACUCACGGGAACAGCCACCAUCAAGCCAGUCCAAAGUUCUGUGCAUGUUCUCUCUUUCCAGAAUGCUCCAUCGCUCUGCUUUGUGGUCCCUAGUUGCCCCCCAUGACCCACCUGAAAGGGCUCCCCUGUGAAAUCUCUCACUUUCCCCUCUCAAGUUGAGCCGAUUCUACUUGAUGCCAUAGCUGUAUACUGCACAUAACUAUUUCUCAC
ensembl:lncRNA